AAAAUAUAUUUAAAUUAUCUGUAAGUGUUUUGUACUCCUCGGUAAUCCUCGUACUCUAUUCCAGCGACUGAUACGGGUAAGGGGUGUUACAUUUAGUGGUAUCAGAGCUAUGAUUUAGUCGGUUCUCAGAUUAACCUAGCGUAUGUGAGUUUAGCUAUACAUGCAUUAUUACUACUCGUGAUAGUGUGAUAUCUUUCGGCUCUAACGAAAUUGUUUUGUUAAGACCGAGGUGCUUUCCAGCCGAGCUAAUCUUGACAGUGAGAAAAUUUG
rnacentral:lncRNA from 1 species